UCAUCUUCAAAUCCCUUUCUAAUCUCAAUCAUAUGAGGAUACAAUGAACAUGUUUAAAACUCUUGAGGAAUAUGAAACCCUUAUGUCUUGAGUGAACCAUGAUAUUGAGGACAUCUCCUCACCAUUGACUUGAAUACCUGUCCUUCUUCUUUCUUGCUUGAAAUAAACCAAUAGAACUAGAUACCUUGAUCCCAUAACCAUUGAACCAAUGAUAUGCAUGAGUAUGUAUGAUAAUGAGACAUAAGCCAAUUAGGAUUGAAGAGAAUAGGGUAAAUUUUUU
rnacentral:lncRNA from 1 species